UACGGAGGGUGCGAGCGUUGUUCGGAAUCAUUGGGCGUAAAGCGCGUGUAGGCGGCUAGGUAAGUCUGAUGUGAAAGCCCAGGGCUUAACCCUGGAAGUGCAUUGGAUACUGCCUGGCUAGAGGGCGAGAGAGGAAAGCGGAAUUCCUGGUGUAGGGGUGAAAUCCGUAGAUAUCAGGAGGAACAUCGGAGGCGAAGGCGGCUUUCUGGCUCGUUUCUGACGCUGAGACGCGAAAGCGUGGGGAGCAAACAGG
rnacentral:rRNA from 1 species